rnacentral:rRNA from 1 species
GACGAACGCUGGCGGCGUGCUUAACACAUGCAAGUCGAACGGAAAGGCCCUGCUUUUGUGGGGUUCUCGAGUGGCGAACGGGUGAGUAACACGUGAGUAACCUGCCCUUGACUUUGGGAUAACUUCACGAAACUGGGGCUAAUACCGGAUAUGAUCUCCUGCUGCAUGUUGGGGGUUGGAAAGUUUCGGCGGUUGGGGAUGGACUCGCGGCUUAUCAGCUUGUUGGUGGGGUAGUGGCUUACCAAGGCUUUGACGGGUAGCCGGCCUGAGAGGGUGACCGGCCACAUGGGGACUGAGAUACGGACCAGAAGCGUACGGGAGGCAGUAGGGGAGAAUAUUGCACAAUGGGCGGAAGCCAGAUGCAGAAACGCCGCGUGCGGGAUGACGGCCUUCGGGUUGUAAACCGCUUUCGACUGUGACGAAGCGGGAGUGACGGUAAUGGGUAAAGAAGCACCGGCUAACUACGUG